rnacentral:rRNA from 1 species
UAGCAAUAUCUUGAAGUCGGAGUGGCGCAAGGGUGCGUAACACGUGGGUAAUUUGCCGUGAAGUUGGGGAUAACUCGCUGAAAGGCGAGCUAAUACCGAAUGUGAUGAUUGGGAGGCAUCUUCUGAUCUUCAAAGUUGGGGACCGCAAGGCCUGACGCUUCACGAUAAGCCCGCGGCCUAUCAGCUAGUUGGUGAGGUAACGGCUCACCAAGGCUAAGACGGGUAGCUGGUCUGAGAGGACGACCAGUCACACUGGAACUGAGACACGGUCCAGACACCUACGGGUGGCAGCAGUCGAGAAUUUUUCUCAAUGGGCGAAAGCCUGAAGGAGCGACGCCGCGUGGGGGAUGAAGGGCUUCGGCCCGUAAACCCCUGUCAUUUGCGAACAAACCUUACGGUCUAACACAUCGUGAGCUGAUUGUAGCGAAAGAGGAAGGGACGGCUAACUCUGUGCCAGCAGCCGCGGUAAUACAGAGGUCCCGAGCGUUGUUCGGAUUCACUGGGCGUAAAGGGUGCGUAGGUGGCAGGGUAAGUUUGAUGUGAAAUCUCCGGGCUUAACCCGGAAACUGCAUUGAAUACUAUCUUGCUCGAGGGUUGGAGGGGGGACUGGAAUUCUCGGUGUAGCA